GUGCUCACUUCAGCAGCACAUAUGCUAAAAUUGGAACAAUACAUAGAAGAUUAAUAUCGCCCCUGUGCAAAGAUGACACACAAAUGUGUGAAAUGUUCCAUAUUUUU
ensembl:snRNA U6 U6 spliceosomal RNA